rnacentral:rRNA from 1 species
UACGUAGGGUGCAAGCGUUGUCCGGAAUUAUUGGGCGUAAAGAGCUCGUAGGCGGUCUGUUGCGUUCGGCUGUGAAAACCCGGGGACCGUCAACCCCGGGACCCUGGCAGCCCGAUACGGGCAGACUAGAGUUCGGCAGGGGAGACUGGAAUUCCUGGUGUAGGCGGUGAAAUGCGCAGAUAUCAAGGAGGAACACCGAUGGCGAAGGCAGGGUCUCUGGGCCACUACCUGACGCUGAGAAGCGAAAGCAUGGGGAGCGAACAGG